AUUGAACGCUGGCGGCAGGCCUAACACAUGCAAGUCGAGCGGAUGAAGGGAGCUUGCUCCUGGAUUCAGCGGCGGACGGGUGAGUAAUGCCUAGGAAUCUGCCUGGUAGUGGGGGAUAACGUCCGGAAACGGGCGCUAAUACCGCAUACGUCCUGAGGGAGAAAGUGGGGGAUCUUCGGACCUCACGCUAUCAGAUGAGCCUAGGUCGGAUUAGCUAGUUGGUGGGGUAAAGGCCUACCAAGGCGACGAUCCGUAACUGGUCUGAGAGGAUGAUCAGUCACACUGGAACUGAGACACGGUCCAGACUCCUACAGGAGGCAGCAGUGGGGAAUAUUGGACAAUGGGCGAAAGCCUGAUCCAGCCAUGCCGCGUGUGUGAAGAAGGUCUUCGGAUUGUAAAGCACUUUAAGUUGGGAGGAAGGGCAGUAAGUUAAUACCUUGCUGUUUUGACGUUACCAACAGAAUAAGCACCGGCUAACUUCGUG
rnacentral:rRNA from 1 species